CCUACGGUGGGCAGCAGUGGGGAAUAUUGGUCAAUGGAGGAAACUCUGAACCAGCAACGCCGCGUGAAUGAUGAAGGUCUUCGGAUUGUAAAGUUCUUUUCUAAGGGAAGAAGAAAGUGACGGUACCGUGCGAAUAAGGGCCGGCUAAUUCCGUGCCAGCAGCCGCGGUAAUACGGAAGGCCCGAGCGUUAUCCGGAUUCAUUGGGCUUAAAGGGAGCGUAGGCGGGCGUUCAAGUCAGCUGUAAAAUCGCGCGGCUCAACCGCGCCCCGCAGUUGAAACUGGACGCCUUGAGUUCACAACAGGCAGGCGGAAUUCGUGGUGUAGCGGUGAAAUGCAUAGAUAUCACGAGGAACCCCGAUUGCGAAGGCAGCCUGCCGGGGUGCGACUGACGCUGAGGCUCGAAGGUGCGGGUAUCAAACAGGAUUAGAUACCCGGGUAGUC
rnacentral:rRNA from 1 species